rnacentral:rRNA from 1 species
CACAGAAGUUAGCCGAUGCUUAUUCCUCAGUUACCGUCAUUGUGUUCGUCUCUGAGAAAAGGAGUUUACGACCCACGGGCCUUCCUCCUCCACGCGGUAUUGCUCCGUCAGGCUUUCCCCCAUUGUCUAAGAUUCCCCA